rnacentral:rRNA from 1 species
UACAGAGGGGGCAAGCGUUGUUCGGAAUUACUGGGCGUAAAGGGCGAGUAGGUGGCCAUCUAAGUCAGACGUGAAAUCCCCCGGCUUAACCUGGGAACUGCGUCUGAUACUGGACGGCUAGAGUUUGGGAGAGGGAUGCAGAAUUCCAGGUGUAGCGGUGAAAUGCGUAGAUAUCUGGAGGAAUACCGGUGGCGAAGGCGGCAUCCUGGACCAACACUGACACUGAAUCGCGAAAGCUAGGGGAGCAAACGGG